GUGUAAUAAUAAUAAUAGUAUCGGUAGAGCACUGUAUCUACAGUGCUAUAACAAAAUMUAAAGACUACAUGUAUUCAUAGAAAUACAUUAAGAUGAUCUUUGAUUGCGUCUAUGAAUGUAAACGCUAGCUUAAGACCAUGCUUAAGGCGGACUUCAGUAUAAGAGCGGACUAUGAAUACCGCGAUUAGAGCACUAUAGAUAUGACUAUAUGAGUACUCUUAUCCGCCAUUUUCAGUCCUACAGAGAAAACACGAGUAUGGUUUUGUAUAGUAAACACGUUUGUUGACAUCAAGCGAGAUUGAAUUAUUUAUUGAUAAUUGUGUUAAAUUUCAUUAAAAAAAUUAUUUGAUAGUUGAUGUUAGUAUUUAACCAUUCUAUUUUUAACAUUAAAAGAUAGAUUAAACUACAAAAUACUAUUCAGUGAUUGAUUUAUUAACACAGAUAAGCUAUUUGGAACGUUUCAGUAAUAAUUUGAUGAAAAGUAUGCCAGUAAAAUAGGAAGACAACAACAAAAGAUCAGUCGCUUCUAGAAGCAAAAUGAAGUAUGAAAGUGGAAUAAAAUCUGUUGACGAAGUGACCAUUAUGUCUUUACUUGCUGAAAAUCUAUCUAUAUGAAAAUCUAUGAGGGCUCAAAUAGAGA